UAGAGUUUGAUCCUGGCUCAGAUUGAACGCUGGCGGCAGGCCUAACACAUGCAAGUCGAGCGGAAACGACAACAUUGAAUCUUCGGAGGAUUUGUUGGGCGUCGAGCGGCGGACGGGUGAGUAAUGCCUAGGAAAUUGCCUUGAUGUGGGGGAUAACCAUUGGAAACGAUGGCUAAUACCGCAUAAUGCCUACGGGCCAAAGAGGGGGAUCUUCGGACCUCUCGCGUCAAGAUAUGCCUAGGUGGGAUUAGCUAGUUGGUGAGGUAAUGGCUCACCAAGGCGACGAUCCCUAGCUGGUCUGAGAGGAUGAUCAGCCACACUGGAACUGAGACACGGUCCAGACUCCUACGGGAGGCAGCAGUGGGGAAUAUUGCACAAUGGGCGAAAGCCUGAUGCAGCCAUGCCGCGUGUAUGAAGAAGGCCUUCGGGUUGUAAAGUACUUUCAGUUGUGAGGAAGGGUGUGUAGUUAAUAGCUGCGCAUCUUGACGUUAGCAACAGAAGAAGCACCGGCUAACUCCGUGCCAGCAGCCGCGGUAAUACGGAGGGUGCGAGCGUUAAUCGGAAUUACUGGGCGUAAAGCGCAUGCAGGUGGUUCAUUAAGUCAGAUGUGAAAGCCCGGGGCUCAACCUCGGAACUGCAUUUGAAACUGGUGAACUAGAGUGCUGUAGAGA
rnacentral:rRNA from 1 species